CACGUAGGGCGCAAGCGUUGUCCGGAAUUAUUGGGCGUAAAGAGCUCGUAGGCGGUCUGUUGCGUCCGCUGUGAAAACCCGGGGCUUAACCCCUGGCUUGCAGUGGAUACGGACAGACUAGAGGUAGGUAGGGGAGAAUGGAAUUCCCGGUGUAGCGGUGAAAUGCGCAGAUAUCGGGAGGAACACCGGUGGCGAAGGCGGUUCUCUGGGCCGUUACCUGACGCUGAGGAGCGAAAGCGUGGGGAGCGAACAGG
rnacentral:rRNA from 1 species